rnacentral:lncRNA from 1 species
CGAGCGCGGCGUUCCCGGGCCGGCCCGGCCCCCUCCCUUCACCAUCGCCGGCCCUCCGCCGCCUUCCUCCGCUUCCACCUCCUCUCCCCCCCCCCAAGUUGAGGCCCCCUCCGGGGGGGGGAGGCCCGGGACCGGGACCCGUAGCGAAUUCUCCUAACUCCCUCGACCUCUCCUCUCGCCCGGCCCGAGUGUGAGGAGAAGGGCCCGGCCCG